CAGGCGCCACAGACACCUAUCAGCCUUUUGUAAGGAGGAGCAGCUCGAGUGCGGUGCGGUCAGUAGCCCUUCAAAUUAGAAAAGUGAGUAUGAUCUUGUCAAUGCUGAGAUUUUCAUGCAUCAGCAGCCACUACAUCUGGAUCAGAUUGAACAAGAAACAGACAGCAAGGGUUGUCAGAUCAGAAACAGAAUGACACACAAACAAGAAACUUCACAGGCAGAUCAACAUGCAAUUUGAAGACGUGUGAUAAAAUACAGAGAGGUGAAGUAGUGUGUCUUUCCAGAUCCCCAAAGCAUUCCCCCUUAAAAGAUGAGCCUGAAGAGGAGAUUUGGGAAGAUGUUGUUUCAUAAGUCGCUUUGCCAGAUCACCUGUGGUCGGGAUGUCUGCUAACAAGAUGCCUUGCUGGUCUGAGCGAGUUUAAAGUCUUACACAGACAGUCCAGAAGUUCUGAAGUCCAUCUUCGAUUUCAUUGAUGCUGUCAUCGUAUUAAGUACAGCAUGAGCCAGAAUAGAUGGGUGGUGGUGGCCAUAAGAAGACUGUCAACUAAACCAACAACAAAAUUCAUAUUUGCAGUUUUUCUUGAAUAAAGUUUUUCUAUUCAGAUUAAUAAAAUUACUUUUAAACAUGAUUUUGUUUCAUAUUUUAUGAUUUUAUUCUAUAUUUAGAAAAUUCCACUUCUGCACUA